rnacentral:rRNA from 1 species
AGGCGAAGCCGCGAGGCAGAGNGAACCCCAAAAAGACCGUCCCAGUUCGGAUCGCAGGCUGCAACCCGCCUGCGUGAAGUCGGAAUCGCUAGUAAUCGCGGAUCAGCAUGCCGCGGUGAAUACGUUCCCGGGCCUUGUACACACCGCCCGUCACACCAUGAGAGUCGGGAACACCCGAAGUCCGUAGCCUAACAGCAAUGAGGGCGCGGCCGAAGGUGGGUUCGAUAAUUGGGGUGAAGUCGUAACAAGGUAUC